rnacentral:rRNA from 1 species
GAGUUUGAUCCUGGCUCAGGAUGAACGCUGGCGGCGUGCUUAACACAUGCAAGUCGAACGGGAUGAUUUAGAAGCUUACUUUUAGAGAAUCUAGUGGCAAACGGGUGAGUAACACGUAGGCAACCUGCCGACAGGAUGGGGACAACAUUCCGAAAGGAAUGCUAAUACCGAAUGAAGCCGAGGGAGGGCAUCCUCCUUCGAUGAAAGAUGGCCUCUAUUUAUAAGCUAUCACCUGUCGAUGGGCCUGCGUCUGAUUAGCUAGUUGGUGAGGUAACGGCUCACCAAGGCGACGAUCAGUAGCCGGUCUGAGAGGAUGAACGGCCACAUUGGGACUGAGACACGGCCCAGACUCCUACGGGAGACAGCAGUGGGGAAUCUUCCGCAAUGGGCGCAAGCCUGACGGAGCAACGCCGCGUGAGUGAAGAAGGUCUUCGGAUCGUAAAGCUCUGUUGAUGGGGACGAACGUACGGAGUGCGAAUAGUGCUCUGUAAUGACGGUACCUAUCGAGGAAGCCACGGCUAACUACGUGCCAGCAGCCGCGGUAAUACGUAGGUGGCGAGCGUUGUCCGGAAUCAUUGGGCGUAAAGGGAGCGCAGGCGGGCAUGUAAGUCUUUCUUAAAAGUGCGGGGCUCAACCCCGUGAUGGGAAAGAAACUACAUGUCUUGAGUACAGGAGAGGAAAGCGGAAUUCCCAGUGUAGCGGUGAAAUGCGUAGAUAUUGGGAGGAACACCAGUGGCGAAGGCGGCUUUCUGGACUGCAACUGACGCUGAGGCCCGAAA